rnacentral:rRNA from 1 species
CAGCCGCCACGGUAACACGUAGGGUGCAAGCGUUAAUCGGAAUUACUGGGCGUAAAGCGUGCGCAGGCGGUUCGGAAAGAAAGAUGUGAAAUCCCAGAGCUUAACUUUGGAACUGCAUUUUUAACUACCGGGCUAGAGUGUGUCAGAGGGAGGUGGAAUUCCGCGUGUAGCAGUAAAAUGCGUAGAUAUGCGGAGGAACACCGAUGGCGAAGGCAGCCUCCUGGGAUAACACUGACGCUCAUGCACGAAAGCGUGGGGAGCAAACAGGAUUAGAUACCCGAGUAGUCCCUGUCUCUUAUAC